rnacentral:rRNA from 1 species
CGCCCGGCUCCAUUCCGAACCCGGAAGCUAAGCCUUUCAGCGCCGAUGGUACUGCACGGGAGACUGUGUGGGAGAGUAGGACGUCGCCGGAC